rnacentral:rRNA from 1 species
CCUACGGGAGGCAGCAGUGGGGGAUAUUGGACAAUGGGGGGAACCCUGAUCCAGCGACGCCGCGUGAGUGAAGAAGUAUUUCGGUAUGUAAAGCUCUGUCAGCAGGGAAGAAAGAAAUGACGGUACCUGACCAAGAAGCCCCGGCUAACUACGUGCCAGCAGCCGCGGGAAUACGUAGGGGGCAAGCGUUAUCCGGAAUUACUGGGUGUAAAGGGAGCGUAGACGGUUAAGUAAGUCUGGAGUGAAAGGCCGGGGCCCAACCCCGGGACUGCUCUGGAAACUAUUGAACUUGAGUGCAGGAGAGGUAAGCGGAAUUCCUAGUGUAGCGGUGAAAUGCGUAGAUAUUAGGAGGAACACCAGUGGCGAAGGCGGCUUACUGGACUGUAACUGACGUUGAGGCUCGAAAGCGUGGGGAGCAAACAGGAUUAGAUACCCUUGUAGUC